GGGAGAAAGUCGGGACUGGUUUCUGCGUAGCCAUACACUGACCGCUGCAUCAACUAGCUAGCUCCGGCUAACUAAACCCUGACAUAACCUGCCGCUGCGUGGCUGUUUUGUGACUUUUACAGCGGUGCAUUGGCCCUGGAGCUCAUCUGCCAACGUGGGCCCGGCUUUCUCGUCCUCUCCGAGCAGUUUGCAGGAGUGAGCCGCACGGUGUUCACACACAAAGACGCACGAAAAAGUGGCGAGCACGCCGAGCGAGAGUGGACACUUCAGGUGCAAUGGGAAAAUUAAUCAGAGUUGCAAAAAAAAAAGUAAAUGCCACAAACGAGACGUCCCUCGUCAACAGCAGGUACGUGAACGCCACUUGCACGCCUGUCAUGGAUGUUUACGUCAUCAUCAAUGGACACGAAGCAGCGCCCCGCUUUGAUUUGAGGGAAACGGAGCCCUCUGCUGGAGCCAAACACGACACACCCCGAGCCAAUGACUCAGGAAGACAGAGCUGUCAUUGACAGAAGAUGUACCUCGUUGAGAAGGAUGUUCAAAAUCUGAAUUCCAGAUGAAUACACAGGAUAAAUUACAGAAAUAUUUUGUACUAUUAAAAACAGAUUGCUGCUCCAGGA